rnacentral:rRNA from 1 species
AAUGCCACGGUGAAUACGUUCCCGGGCCUUGUACACACCGCCCGUCACACCAUGGGAGUGGGUUGCAAAAGAAGUAGGUAGCUUAACCUUCGGGAGGGCGCUUACCACUUUGUGAUUCAUGACUGGGUGAAGUCGUAACAAGGUAACCGUAGGGGAACCUGCGGUUGGAUCACCUCCUUACCUUAAAGAAGC